rnacentral:rRNA from 1 species
UUGAACGCUGGCGGAAUGCUUAACACAUGCAAGUCGAGCGGGGUGUAGCAAUACACCUAGCGGCGGACGGGUGAGGAAUACAUAGGAAUCUGCCUCAGAGCGGGGGACAGCCCGGGGAAACCCGGAUUAAUACCGCAUGAUGUCGCAAGACCAAAGUGGGGGACCGCAAGGCCCCACACUCUGAGAUGAGCCUAUGUCCGAUUAGCUAGUUGGCGGGGUAAUAGCCCACCAAGGCGACGAUCGGUAGCUGGUCUGAGAGGACGAUCAGCCACACCGGAACUGAGACACGGUCCGGACUCCUACGGGAGGCAGCAGUGGGGAAUAUUGGACAAUGGGCGCAAGCCUGAUCCAGCAAUUCCGCGUGGGUGAAGAAGGCCUUCGGGUUGUAAAGCCCUUUAAGUUGGGACAAAAAAU